rnacentral:rRNA from 2 species
UUCUUGGGUGACGAGCGGCGGACGGGUGAGUAAUGCAUAGGAAUCUGCCCGGUAGUGGGGGAUAACCUGGGGAAACCCAGGCUAAUACCGCAUACGUCCUACGGGAGAAAGGGGGCUUCGGCUCCCGCUACGGGAUGAGCCUAUGUCGGAUUAGCUAGUUGGUAGGGUAAAGGCCUACCAAGGCAACGAUCCGUAGCUGGUCUGAGAGGAUGAUCAGCCACAUCGGGACUGAGACACGGCCCGAACUCCUACGGGAGGCAGCAGUGGGGAAUAUUGGACAAUGGGGGCAACCCUGAUCCAGCCAUGCCGCGUGUGUGAAGAAGGCCUUCGGGUUGUAAAGCACUUUCAGCGAGGAAGAACGCCUAGUGGUUAAUACCCAUUAGGAAAGACAUCACUCGCAGAAGAAGCACCGGCUAACUCCGUGCCAGCAGCCGCGGUAAUACGGAGGGUGCAAGCGUUAAUCGGAAUUACUGGGCGUAAAGCGCGCGUAGGUGGCUUGAUAAGCCGGUUGUGAAAGCCCCGGGCUCAACCUGGGAACGGCAUCCGGAACUGUCAGGCUAGAGUGCAGGAGAGGAAGGUAGAAUUCCCGGUGUAGCGGUGAAAUGCGUAGAGAUCGGGAGGAAUACCAGUGGCGAAGGCGGCCUUCUGGACUGACACUGACACUGAGGUGCGAAAGCGUGGGUAGCAAACAGGAUUAGAUACCCUGGUAGUCCACGCCGUAAACGAUGUCGACCAGCCGUUGGGUGCCUAGCGCACUUUGUGGCGAAGUUAACGCGAUAAGUCGACCGCCUGGGGAGUACGGCCGCAAGGUUAAAACUCAAAUGAAUUGACAGGGGCCCGCACAAGCGGUGGAGCAUGUGGUUUAAUUCG